rnacentral:sRNA from 1 species
AGCUAGCCCCGAUGGAAGUGAAAAUCCUUUUUAUUUAUCCCGUCAGGGUAAAUAAAAAGAUUGUAGCGGACAGCGGGAGUACAC